rnacentral:rRNA from 1 species
UCAGGUACGUAUACCAUGUUGAAUACCGGUUCUCGUUCGAUCACUGAAGUUAAGCAACAAUCGGGUGUGGUUAGUACCUGGAUGGGUGACCAAGGAAUAGGUCUAGGUUUUUUUAUGAC